rnacentral:pre_miRNA from 1 species
AACAACUCCAGUUGUCCAGUGUUUGAUUUGUAAAACAGUUUCAGAAACAGGUCAAACUGGAGGUAAGGGACAGGACAA